rnacentral:rRNA from 1 species
GACGAACGCUGGCGGCGCGCUUAACACAUGCAAGUCGAGCGAGAACCAGACCUUCGGGUCUGGGGACAGCGGCGAACGGGUGAGUAACACGUGGGUAAUCAACCCUCGGUACUGGGAUAGCCCGGGGAAACCCGGAUUAAUACCGGAUGGCCCUUCGGAUCUUCGGUUCCGAAGGAAAAGGUAGCUUCGGCCUCCGACCGAGGACGAGCCCGCGGCGGAUUAGCUUGUUGGUGGGGUAACGGCCUACCAAGGCGGCGAUCCGUAGCUGGUCUGAGAGGACGAUCAGCCACACUGGGACUGAGACACGGCCCAGACUUCUACGGAAGGCAGCAGUGGGGAAUCUUGCGCUAAUGCGGGAAACCGUGACGCAGCGACGCCGCGUGAGGGAAGAAGGCCUUCGGGUUGUAAACCUCUUUCAGAAGGGACGAAGCUACUCGGGUUAAUAGCCCAGAGGGUGACGGUACCUUCAGAAGAAGCCCCGGCUAACUACGUGCCAGCCGCCGCGGUAA